CAAUAGCGUAUAUUAAAGUUGUUGCAGUUAAAAAGCUCGUAGUUGGAUUUCUGGUGGGAGCGAUCGGUCUGGCGCUUAGCGCGAGUACUUGCAUCGUCUCCGGCCAUCCUUGGGGAGAGUCUGUCUGGCAUUAGGUUGUCGGGCAGAGGAUCCUCAUCGUUUACUGUGAAAAAAUUAGAGUGUUCAAAGCAGGCUUAUGCCGUUGAAUAUAUUAGCAUGGAAUAAUAAUAUAGGACUUUGGUACUAUUUUGUUGGUUUGCGCACCAAAGUAAUGAUUAAUAGGGACAGUUGGGGGUAUUCGUAUUCCGUUGUCAGAGGUGAAAUUCUUGGAUUUACGGAAGACGAACUACUGCGAAAGCAUUUACCAAGGAUGUUUUCAUUAA
rnacentral:rRNA from 1 species